UACGUAGGGCGCAAGCGUUGUCCGGAAUUAUUGGGCGUAAAGAGCUCGUAGGCGGUUUGUCGCGUCUGCUGUGAAAACCCGAGGCUCAACCUCGGGCCUGCAGUGGGUACGGGCAGACUAGAGUGCGGUAGGGGAGAUUGGAAUUCCUGGUGUAGCGGUGGAAUGCGCAGAUAUCAGGAGGAACACCAAUGGCGAAGGCAGAUCUCUGGGCCGUAACUGACGCUGAGGAGCGAAAGCAUGGGGAGCGAACAGGG
rnacentral:rRNA from 1 species